rnacentral:rRNA from 1 species
GGGUUUCAACACCUCCGUGCCGCCGCUAACGCAUUAAGUAUUCCGCCUGGGGAGUACGGUCGCAAGAUUAAAACUCAAAGGAAUUGACGGGGACCCGCACAAGUAGCGGAGCAUGUGGUUUAAUUCGAAGCAACGCGAAGAACCUUACCUACACUUGACAUCCCUUGCAUUACUCUUAAUCGAGGAAAUCCCUUCGGGGACAAGGUGACAGGUGGUGCAUGGUUGUCGUCAGCUCGUGUCGUGAGAUGUUGGGUUAAGUCCCGCAACGAGCGCAACCCUUGUCGUUAGUUACUACCAUUAAGUUGAGGACUCUAGCGAGACUGCCUGGGUUAACCAGGAGGAAGGUGGGGAUGACGUCAAAUCAUCAUGCCCCUUAUGUGUAGGGCUACACACGUGCUACAAUGGCUGGUACAGAGAGAUGCAAUACCGCGAGGUGGAGCCAAACUUUAAAACCAGUCUCAGUUCGGAUUGUAGGCUGAAACUCGCCUACAUGAAGCUGGAGUUACUAGUAAUCGCGAAUCAGAAUGUCGCGGUGAAUACGUUCCCGGGUCUUGUACACACCGCCCGUCACACCAUGAGAGUUGGCAAUACCCGAAGUCCGUGAGCUAACCGCAA